AUGAAGAGGAGGAGAAAAGAAGAUGAUUGACAACUGUGUCCUUGUAAAAGAGGAGGGUGGCGGGCUUGUGACAUCCUUCGCGAUACCUAACAUUGUUAAUAUUUUAGUGCACUAGAUUGGACCCCUUGAAAUUGGGUGGUUCGCACACAAACUAUAAGAAGAGGAGGAUCGACGAUGGUGCCCUCGUGAGAAGAGGAUAAUGGGCUCGCGACUUCCUCUGCGAGCCCUAACAUCAUCAGUAUUAUUAUUAUAAUAUAAUAUUUUAUUUUAUUUACAAAGAGUAAAUGGUGAAGGUGCGAUUCGAGCCCAGAAAUUAUUUCUUUUUUAACACACCAAAUCUAACCGCUUGACAUUGGAGUGGUCCACAUACUAGUUAGCAUCUUGACCAAUAAAUAUCAGUCCAUGCAUACCUGUCCAACAAAAUCGCAAACCUUGGAAUAUGCAUACAUAUUAUGUAGAAUAAGUAAUUUGAUUCUUUACUUCAUCAUGAAUGAGCUUGCAAAUUUAGAAUAAGGAUGAAAGGUAAGAUACAAUUAACCUAUUACAGUCCUAAUAUAUUAGGAAGACAACUAUACAUGUAAAUCCUAACUAUCCAAUUUAAAUUAGGAAUAUGACUAUUUAGGAAUAUAACUAUAUAGAAAUACAACUAUAUUCUGAUUAGGAAUACAUUCAUAUAGGGAUACAGCUUUCAUAUUAUAGGAAUACAACUCUCGUAGGAAUAUAGCUUUCAUAUUCAAGAAUUACGAGUUCGAUAUCCAUGUGAUUCUCCAACACUCUCCCUUAUGCGGUUACUCUUGUAGGAAUAUAGCUUUUGUAUUCAAGAAUUACAACUUCGAUAUCUAUGUGAUUCUCCAACACUCUCCGUUAUGCAGUUGUAAAUAUAUUUUGCAAUCCAUGCCUGUUAAGUAAUUUAUCAAACAUUGGAUCUGAUAAAGUUUUCGUCAAAGCAUCAACCAACUGUUAUAUGGAUGAAUUACAAGGAAUGCAAAUUUGUCCCCAUCCAAAUUCUCUUUGUUGAAAUGCUAUUUUAUUUCCACAUGUUUGGUUUUAUUGUCGUGAACCAACAAUACUUAAUAUAGUUCUAUUGUCACAACACAACAACAACAUAAGAUUACUUCCUUUGAUCUUCAAAGUCAUUACUAUUAUCUUUAGCUAAAUUAGUUCAUAAAUCCUUAUUUCCAUGGUCCUAAAUUCAGCUUUGCACUUGAUCGGGCCACCAUUGGUUGCGUCUUGCUCCUCAAGUGACCAGAUUUCGUCCUAAAAAUAUGUAGUAAUUGGAAAUUGAUCUUCUAUCUUCAAUAGAUCUAGUGUAAUUUGAGUCUAUAUAGGCUUCUACUUGUGGUUCUUGGGGAUGCUACAAUCUCCCCAUGAAUCAUUCAGGAAGAUGACUCUAUAGGAAUACAACAAUAUUCUACUUAGGAAUACAGACAUAUUGGGUUUGAAUAUUCUAGGAAUACAACACCCACGUGAAUAUAACUUCCACAUUCAGAAUUCAAUCAUCCGUAUCUAUUAUUCUCUAUCACUCCCCCUCAAGUAGUUGUAAAUAUGUUUUGCAAUCCAAACUUGUCAUGUUAUUUAUAGAAUAUUGGAUCUAGUAAAGUUUUUAUCAAAGCAACAACUAUCGAUUUUGUGGAUGAAUUUCAAGGCAUGCAGAUUUGUCUACCGUUCAACUUUACUUUAAUGAAAUGUCAUUUUAUUUCCACAUAUUUGGUUUUAUCAUGAUGAAUUAGAGUUGCGGGCAAUACUUCUAUUACUUCAUUGUCACAACACAACAACAUAGGAUUACUUAUUUUGAUCUUUUAAGUAGUACUUUUAGCUACAUUAGUUCACAAGCUUCGAUUACAAAACAUUUGCAACUAUUUGAGGGGGAGUGUUAGAGAAUCACACAGAUAUGGAAGUUGUAAAUGUUGAAUAUGGAAGCUAUAUUCCUAUGGCAAUUGUAUUCUUUGAAUAUAGAAGUUGUAUCUUUAUAUAACUCUAUUCCUAAUUAGAAUACAGUUGUAUUCCUUUAUAGUUAUCUUCCUAAAUAGUGGUAUUUCUAAUUUAAAUAGGAUAGUUGCCUAAGAAUUAUAUAUAUAGUUAUUUUCCUAAUAUAUUAGGAUUGUAAUUGAUUCCCCACAUUAAGGUUUGACGUUCUUGUCAUGGAUAUAACAGGUCCAGAAUCAAAGUGCAUGUGAGGCCCAAUAUUAUGGUGGCUCUGCGUUAUGACGUGCCCUUUAGUUCUAUUCACGGGUAGGAUUUUCCUAUUCGAGUAUUUUACCUAUCCAAUAUUAGGUCGGAUUUGAUAUCAUUUUUCAUGAUUAGAUUCAAUGAGAUAACUUUACAUAUCUAUUGAAAUUGAGUCACUGACCCAAAAUGCUUAAGCCCAAUAUAAUAGUAAUACACUUAUCUGAUUCUUAUAAAUCAAUUCAUAAUUUUAUGUAUUCUUAUGUGGAAUUAAACUUAGAAUGUUAUAGUAUUUCCUUUGCUCAAGCUUACCAUAGAGUUUCCAAGACAUAUCUCGAGUAUAUCUUGGUUUUGAGCAAUAGUCAUGUCACAAUUUUCUUUUUUCGUCCAUGGAUGGUUUCCUUGUAGCAUGCAAAAAAAAAUUUGAGAUUGCCAAGGUUAAGUUUUCUCAGAUUGAAUUCUUAUACAGACGAGCUUAACUUCCUACCUUCUUCUUCACGAACUAAGAGAAAUAUUUCUUUAAUAGAUGGGAGAAGGCCUCUGCCCAGGACUCUUUCACAAACUUCAUUAAACUUGGGAUUAAGGCUCAACCAGAAAAUUAAAAAUUCAUGUUCAUUCAAUCAUAUCUUUAAGCUUCUUUAUUUCAUUUUGAUACCCAGACAGAGAUCUAGUCCUAACCAAAGUCCCUUCAGAAUAACAUAGUAGUUGGUAACUGGUUAGUUACCUUAUUUAGUGGACAAUCUGCCUCUUCAAUUCAUAUUAUUGGUUAGCAGCACACUUCUUGGAGUAGGUUUAUGUGACUGCAUCCCAUAUGUCCUUUCUAUUUUCCAGCAGGAGAUUGUCUUGCUAAUCUCAUGUUGCAUGAAGUGCAAUAGCCAGGACAUCACCAUUGAACUUUUACAUCUGAGAUUUCAAAUUUUGGAUCAGAUGUCUUUGGUGCAGAAGAAGUGCCAAGAGAAUAACUCCAUUUAAUUCUAAAGUAUUUAUUUGUACGGUGGUAUUUUCAGAUGACUAUGUGUCCUGGAUUUGGUGUCGAGUUGGUUGAGGUGACUAUUUUUUAUGUUGCAAAGAUGCUUAAAAGAUUGGAAGGUUUGAAGAUCAAGAUUUAGAAAUGGCAAUGAGGGUCGAAACAAUGAUCAGCAAAGAAAGGACUGACCAGAAAUGUUGAUCAAGAACCAUUGGAACAUCUACAAACUACAAGUCUAAAUCUGGAGGUGCAAAGAAGAAAUGAUUGGAAAGCAAUAUCAGCACUCAAAACAUUGGAACCUGUCGACUGAGCAGGGUUAGAAGAGAAUGUAAUUUUUUGUUUCCUUGAGGGGUGGCCUAUCAAUGAAGUUGCAUGGGUCAUAGAAAGAUAAACUUCGCCAUGUUGCUCGAGCCUUAUACGAGGCUAUCACCAUCCUCUAGGUGAGCUAGCAGUGGCUUGAGGAUCUGGAUCUCAACCUUAUGUCUCAGGACAUGGAUCUUUGCAUCAACGUCUUCAGCCAUCGAGAAGCAUAGGAAGAAGGUUGCAAUGUACCUUGCUUUGUAAACGUCUCAGAGGAGCAGGUCAUUUGAGAAUAGGGGAGAAUUUGCCUUGGAAGUUCAAGCCUCGGGGCCUCGGCUUAGACAUUCGGGAUGCUUGAAGAGGAAAGGAGGGCCUUGGCACAAAACCUAUUUAACAAGUGUCGGUCGGGCCCUUUGCUCAGUCAUUAGUAUUGAGUCAGUGUCGAAGGGUAGAUGAAGCGCCACCCUUGAUCCGAGCGAGUGAAUGGGCUCCUUUGCCUUUUACGAGGGGGAAGUCUUCUUGAACUAUUGAAUCCUCUCACUUUGGGGGGGGAGUCGGUGAGGCAACCAACAAUAGCAACAAUAAUCACUAUCUGGUAGACCAAGGCCCUCGUCCUUGGCUCGCUUGGGCGAUCCAUCGCUCGUUAGUGGAUGUUAACCACGAAGUUGGAGGUUUAGGCUCUCCUUCUAGUGCUGCUAGUUGAUAAGUCAUCAUGUGUCAUCAUUGGUGUAAGUACGAGGGCUUGCGAGAAAUUGCUUGCUUUGGGUGAGUUGCAUAGUUUUGCUCUUUCGGGAUGAGCUCCAAUAUGGGUCUUUAGAGGAUGACUUUGGCAUUUAUAAGGUCUUUCUUUUCUUACUCCUUAAUUAAUGUGAACUAAAUAUGCUUAUCAUUAAUCUCAACGGGAGAGUUGAGGUUGUUAAUGUAUAUUAUGGUUGUUUGAUUAGGAUAUCGAUUUGGAGCUAAUUGAGUUCCAAUUCUAUACUUGUUAGAUUGGCAUUUGAAAGUGUCAAACCCAAUUGAUUCAUAAUGCACUAAACCUUGUGAAGCUAA